GAACGCACCUUGCGCCCUUUGGCUAUUCCGAAGGGCAUGCCUGUUUGAGUAUCAUGAACACCUCAACUCUUCGUGGCUUGCCAUGAUGAGCUUGGACUCUGGGGGUCUUGCUGGCCUGCGGUCGGCUCCUCUCAAAUGAAUCAGCUUGCCAGUGUUUGGUGGCGUCACAGGUGUGAUAACUAUCUAUGCUUGUGGCUUUCCACCAGGUAACCUUCAGCGAUGGAGGUUCACUGGGGCUCAUAAACAUCUCUCCUCAGUGAGGACAGCUCUUUGAACGUUUGAUCUCAAAUCAGGUAGGACUACCCGCUGAACUUAAG
rnacentral:misc_RNA from 1 species